rnacentral:rRNA from 1 species
AGGACGAACGCUGGCGGCGUGCUUAACACAUGCAAGUCGAACGAUGAUGCCCAGCUUGCUGGGUGGAUUAGUGGCGAACGGGUGAGUAACACGUGAGUAACCUGCCCCUGACUCUGGGAUAAGCGUUGGAAACGACGUCUAAUACUGGAUAUGACUGCCGGCCGCAUGGUCUGGUGGUGGAAAGAUUUUUUGGUUGGGGAUGGACUCGCGGCCUAUCAGCUUGUUGGUGAGGUAAUGGCUCACCAAGGCGACGACGGGUAGCCGGCCUGAGAGGGUGACCGGCCACACUGGGACUGAGACACGGCCCAGACUCCUACGGGAGGCAGCAGUGGGGAAUAUUGCACAAUGGGCGAAAGCCUGAUGCAGCAACGCCGCGUGAGGGAUGACGGCCUUCGGGUUGUAAACCUCUUUUAGUAGGGAAGAAGCGUAAGUGACGGUACCUGCAGAAAAAGCACCGGCUAACUACGUGCCAGCAGCCGCGGUAAUACGUAGGGUGCAAGCGUUGUCCGGAUAUUAUUGGGCGUAAAGAGCUCGUAGGCGGUUUGUCGCGUCUGCUGUGAAAUCCCGAGGCUCAACCUCGGGCUUGCAGUGGGUACGGGCAGACUAGAGUGCGGUAGGGGAGAUUGGAAUUCCUGGUGUAGCGGUGGAAUGCGCAGAUAUCAGGAGGAACACCGAUGGCGAAGGCAGAUCUCUGGGCCGUAACUGACGCUGAGGAGCGAAAGCGUGGGGAGCGAACAGGAUUAGAUACCCUGGUAGUCCACGCCGUAAACGUUGGGCGCUAGAUGUAGGGACCUUUCCACGGUUUCUGUGUCGUAGCUAACGCAUUAAGCGCCCCGCCUGGGGAGUACGGCCGCAAGGCUAAAACUCAAAGGAAUUGACGGGGGCCCGCACAAGCGGCGGAGCAUGCGGAUUAAUUCGAUGCAACGCGAAGAACCUUACCAAGGCUUGACAUACACCGGAAACGGCCAGAGAUGGUUGCCCCCUUGUGGUCGGUGUACAGGUGGUGCAUGGUUGUCGUCAGCUCGUGUCGUGAGAUGUUGGGUUAAGUCCCGCAACGAGCGCAACCCUCGUUCUAUGUUGCCAGCGCGUUAUGGCGGGGACUCAUAGGAGACUGCCGGGGUCAACUCGGAGGAAGGUGGGGAUGACGUCAAAUCAUCAUGCCCCUUAUGUCUUGGGCUUCACGCAUGCUACAAUGGCCGGUACAAAGGGCUGCGAUACCGUAAGGUGGAGCGAAUCCCAAAAAGCCGGUCUCAGUUCGGAUUGAGGUCUGCAACUCGACCUCAUGAAGUCGGAGUCGCUAGUAAUCGCAGAUCAGCAACGCUGCGGUGAAUACG